CGGGCAGCACGUAGGCGUGACGUCACCCCCCCCUCCCUCCUCUCGGCUCCAUGGAGACGGCUCCGCAGGUGUACAGACCGCACAGUCAGAGUUGCGUGUGAACCGGCCUCUUCCUCCAGAUAAAAGGGAAAAAAAAAGGUCCGAUGAGGGAGAGAGAUUCCAGCCGUCGGG